GCGACGAUCUGUAGCGGGUCUGAGAGGAUGAUCCGCCACACUGGGACUGAGACACGGCCCAGACUCCUACGGGAGGCAGCAGUGGGGAAUAUUGGACAAUGGGGGGAACCCUGAUCCAGCCAUGCCGCGUGUGUGAAGAAGGCCUUAUGGUUGUAAAGCACUUUAAGCGAGGAGGAGGCUACUGAGACUAAUACUCUUGGAUAGUGGACGUUACUCGCAGAAUAAGCACCGGCUAACUCUGUGCCAGCAGCCGCGGUAAUACAGAGGGUGCGAGCGUUAAUCGGAUUUACUGGGCGUAAAGCGUGCGUAGGCGGCUUUUUAAGUCGGAUGUGAAAUCCCCGAGCUUAACUUGGGAAUUGCAUUCGAUACUGGGAAGCUAGAGUAUGGGAGAGGAUGGUAGAAUUCCAGGUGUAGCGGUGAAAUGCGUAGAGAUCUGGAGGAAUACCGAUGGCGAAGGCAGCCAUCUGGCCUAAUACUGACGCUGAGGUACGAAAG
rnacentral:rRNA from 1 species